AGUGAACGCUGGCGGCAGGCCUAACACAUGCAAGUCGAGCGGCAGCGCGUCCGACCACCCUCGGGUGGUCGGAUGGCGGCGAGCGGCGGACGGGUGAGGAAUGCAUCGGAAUCUGCCUCGUUGUGGGGGAUAACGUAGGGAAACUUACGCUAAUACCGCAUACGACCUACGGGUGAAAGUGGGGGACCUUCGGGCCUCACGCGAUGAGAUGAGCCGAUGCCGGAUUAGCUAGUUGGCGGGGUAAAGGCCCACCAAGGCGACGAUCCGUAGCUGGUCUGAGAGGAUGAUCAGCCACACUGGAACUGAGACACGGUCCAGACUCCUACGGGAGGUAGCAGUGGGGAAUAUUGGACAAUGGGGGCAACCCUGAUCCAGCCAUGCCGCGUGUGUGAAGAAGGCCUUC
rnacentral:rRNA from 1 species